rnacentral:rRNA from 1 species
UACGUAGGGGGCAAGCGUUGUCCGGAAUCAUUGGGCGUAAAGAGCGUGUAGGCGGCCCGAUAAGUCCGCCGUGAAAGUCCAGGGCUCAACCCUGGAAUGCCGGUGGAUACUGUCGGGCUAGAGUCCGGAAGGGGCGAGUGGAAUUCCUGGUGUAGCGGUGAAAUGCGCAGGUAUCAGGAGGAACACCGAUGGCGAAGGCAGCUCGCUGGGACGGUACUGACGCUGAGACGCGAAAGCGUGGGGAGCAAACAGG